rnacentral:rRNA from 1 species
AACGAACGCUGGCGGCAUGCCUAACACAUGCAAGUCGAACGAGACCUUCGGGUCUAGUGGCGCACGGGUGCGUAACGCGUGGGAACCUGCCCUUAGGUUCGGAAUAACUCCCCGAAAGGGGUGCUAAUACCGGAUAAUGUCUUCGGACCAAAGAUUUAUCGCCUUUGGAUGGGCCCGCGUUGGAUUAGCUAGUUGGUAGGGUAAAAGCCUACCAAGGCGACGAUCCAUAGCUGGUCUGAGAGGAUGAUCAGCCACACUGGGACUGAGACACGGCCCAGACUCCUACGGGGGGCAGCAGUGGGGAAUAGUGGAAAAGGGGGGAAAGCCUGAGCCAGCAAGGCCGGGUAAGGGGUGAAGGCCUGAGGGUUGAAAUGCUCUUUUCCCCGGAAUGAUAAACACAGUCCCGGGAGAAAAACCCCGGUCAAACCCCG